rnacentral:rRNA from 1 species
CAGUCGCCGCGGUAAUACGUAGGUGGCAAGCGUUGUCCGGAAUUAUUGGGCGUAAAGGGCUCGCAGGCGGUUUCUUAAGUCUGAUGUGAAAGCCCCCGGCUCAACCGGGGAGGGUCAUUGGAAACUGGGAAACUUGAGUGCAGAAGAGGUGAGUGGAAUUCCACGUGUAGCGGUGGAAUGCGUAGAGAUGUGGAGGAACACCAGUGGCGAAGGCGACUCUCUGGUCUGUAACUGACGCUGAGGAGCGAAAGCGUGGGGAGCGAACAGGAUUAGAUACCCGCGUAGUCCCUGUCUCUUAUAC